rnacentral:rRNA from 1 species
AUUGAACGCUGGCGGAAUGCUUUACACAUGCAAGUCGAGCGGCAGCACGGGGGCAACCCUGGUGGCGAGCGGCGAACGGGUGAGUAAUACAUCGGAACAUGCCCAGUCGUGGGGGAUAACACUUCGAAAGAAGUGCUAAUACCGCAUACGUCCUGAGGGGGAAAGCGGGGGAUCGCAAGACCUCGCGCGAUUGGAGUGGCCGAUGUCAGAUUAGCUAGUUGGUGGGGUAAAGGCCUACCAAGGCAACGAUCUGUAGCUGGUCUGAGAGGAUGAUCAGCCACACUAGGGCUUGAGCAGCGACCCGGCUACUGAGGGAGGGCCCAGUGGGGGAUUUUGGGCAAUGGGGGCAACCCUGAUCCAGCCAUUCCGCGUGAGUGAAGAAGGCCUUCGGGUUGUAAAGCUCUUUCGGCAGGAACGAAACGGUGAGCUCUAACAUAGCUUGCUAAUGACGGUACCUGAAGAAGAAGCACCGGCUAACUACGUG